rnacentral:rRNA from 1 species
UACUUGUACCUGGUGGCGAGCGGCGGACGGGUGAGUAAUGCCUAGGAAUCUGCCUGGUAGUGGGGGAUAACGCUCGGAAACGGACGCUAAUACCGCAUACGUCCUACGGGAGAAAGCAGGGGACCUUCGGGCCUUGCGCUAUCAGAUGAGCCUAGGUCGGAUUAGCUAGUUGGUGAGGUAAUGGCUCACCAAGGCGACGAUCCGUAACUGGUCUGAGAGGAUGAUCAGUCACACUGGAACUGAGACACGGUCCAGACUCCUACGGGAGGCAGCAGUGGGGAAUAUUGGACAAUGGGCGAAAGCCUGAUCCAGCCAUGCCGCGUGUGUGAAGAAGGUCUUCGGAUUGUAAAGCACUUUAAGUUGGGAGGAAGGGCAGUUACCUAAUACGUAUCUGUUUUGACGUUACCGACAGAAUAAGCACCGGCUAACUCUGUGCCAGCAGCCGCGGUAAUACAGAGGGUGCAAGCGUUAAUCGGAAUUACUGGGCGUAAAGCGCGCGUAGGUGGUUUGUUAAGUUGGAUGUGAAAUCCCCGGGCUCAACCUGGGAACUGCAUUCAAAACUGACAAGCUAGAGUAUGGUAGAGGGUGGUGGAAUUUCCUGUGUAGCGGUGAAAUGCGUAGAUAUAGGAAGGAACACCAGUGGCGAAAGCGACCACCUGGACUGAUACUGACACUGAUGUGCGAAAGCGUGGGGAGCAAACAGGAUUAGAUACCCUGGUAGUCCACGCCGUAACGAUGUCAACUAGCCGUUGGGAGCCUUGAGCUCUUAGUGGCGCAGCUAACGCAUUAGUUGACCGCCUGGGGGAGUACGGCCGCACGGUAAACUCAAUGAAUUGAUCGGGGCCCGCACAGCCGUGAGCAUGUGAUUAAUCGAGUCAACGCGAGACGUACUAGUCCUUGACAUCCAUGGAACGUAUCCAGAGAAUUGCAAUUGGGUGUCCCAUG